ensembl:lncRNA
AGACUGCCCAAGUGGAAGCCCAGAUGGACGUCCAGGGACGAGUCUCCUCUGCACCGCGUCCGGGGAGAUACGACGGAUGUCUCCAGCAACCGAGACUCCAAGGUGUCCGCUGGAUGGCACAGGCGCGAUAGAAUUCCUGAGAGACAUCGGCAGGUCGGCUGAGGCACGGAGCGGCUUCUCGUCCCGCUGCGCCUGUUUGAUAGACGAUGGCGGCGCGAGCACUUUGCUCUCCGUGUGGAAACACGUCACAGACUCCGGGGGCCGGUGGAGGCAAACAUGGGGCCCCCUGAUUAGGAACCAAUGACAGAACUACUGGCAGGGACAAAAAUGUUGGUGGUUUAUCGAAUGCACGUUUGUUUUCUACCUCUCAAAUGUGAGGAUGCGCCGCUUUUUCUCUGUCUGAUGUCGUCAAAUAUGCUAAAAAAGUUUCUUAUGGAGAUCUUGGAUGAUAAUGCUGUUCUUUUCCUGUUAACCAAAAGCGUCUUGGCUUCUCCUCCACAAAUGUUCAACCUGCAUCCAGGAACAAAGGUGCAGUGACUUUUCCUCUGCAGAAUCCAUUACAAAGCUCUUUAACUGGUGCUUCCAUGAACUAAGGAGCGUCGAUAAUAUUCUGUCUUUUCUCUCUUGUCCCCCAAAGUGUUUUAGAUGUUUUAAUAUCAUCCCAGAUUCCUGUAACGCACUGUAUUAAGAUAUAAAGCUCGGG